ensembl:lncRNA
UACACACAAUCAGAAACAUACAAAGAGACAAAGAGAGAUUCAAAAUUGCCCUCAAACAACAAUGUAUGGUUGCUUUUAGCACCAGGGGUUGCUUUGUUACCUUUCUGUUAUUUUCUAAAAUAAAUAAAUCAGGCACACGUGAAUCUGUGAACCUCUCUGAAUUUGGGGAUUUAUGCUGUACAGCCAAACAAUAACGGAAUAGAACUGCUCGAGAUUGAAUAAUGUUUCGGCUUUCUUUUAAUUUAUUCUAAAUCAUGACAAGCUUGGCAAAAACACUAAUAUGCCAAUAUGAUUUUUUUUUACUGUGGAUCAAAAUAGAAACCAGAAACCAAUCCCAAACACAGUGCAAAAACUGCAGAGAGUCUCCCCAUCUCCCCUGGUCGGCGAGAGCAGAACACACUGGUGCGCUGGCUUUUGACCACGGCAAUUUUAAUCAGUCUUUUUCACACUUCAUUGGGAAUUCAUCGCCGCCUUACCCCUUCAAACAUUGUUUGGGAGAGUUAUCAGCGGCAGGCAGCACAUCCGGUAAUUAUACAUGCAAGGUAACGCUGGGAGCUGUGCUGAAUAUUUCAGCCAAAUGCAUGGGCUGCUGAGAGGCACUGGAGGGUACAGCUGCUUCACAAUGCCACGUCUAUGGCGGCCAUGAUUGAAGAAUGGCGUCUGAGAGUCACAUCCAGAAAGUUGUCACUUGCUAAGCCAUGUGAAGUGGGCUGGAACGCUAAGUGUAAAGCAACUUCAUUUGCAUUUCAACAAGUAAAUUUUGGAAAAAAGGUUUCCUAAUGCAAAGGUCCCCAACCACCGGGCCACUUGGUCUUGGUACCAGGCUGCAGACAGAAAAAAACCCCAGACAAAUUGAGGAUUUUUUCCAUUUAAGUUUUUUCUGAAAAAUAUUUUAUUUUGAAAAAAACGACUGGAUUUUUUCCCAAUCCCAUGUCCUAAUCCUUCUUGACAAAUUUCAAAUUCCAAGCAUCAUUCAAGCGUUUUUGUGCGCAGCCACUACUACUACCUUCCCCCCGUCGGUUGGUUAUUUUGUUGUGUUUAUCCCCCACACCUUCAAGACAGGAAAUAUUGUCAAACAUAAAAACAGCCUGUGAGGCAAAAAAGGUUGGGGACCGCUGCCCUAAUGUACACUCACUGGCCACUUUAUAGGUACACCUUGGUAGUAAAGGGUUGGAGCCCCUUUUAUAAUUCUUCUGCCAUACUUUCAACAAGAGGUUGGAAACAUUCUUCAGAGAUGUUGGUCCAUACACUGUAACAAAUUGCUGUAAAUUUACGGUGCAUUUCGGUAUCUUACAGUAUGUCAUAAUAACUGUAACAUACAGUUAAAUUUCCAUCCCUUGCUUGUAAAUUAACAGCCAAUGUCAUGAAUAAACAGUUAAAGCUGUCAAUUUACAAUAAUAGCAGACUACCGUAAUUCAAAUUUGUAGGUUAAUGUAUGGAAGCCCAUGUCAGCCACUGAAAAACAGGUCCUGUAAGUAAUCAUAAUGAGAUAGUAUCUCAUGAGAUACGAUGAUGACUUUGACUUACAGGACAUUACUAUAUGUAGCUGUCACUUUUAUUCAAAACGCCCAUGGUUUGACAUCAUUUUAUGUGGAGUAAUUGGGGUUUAGGUGUCUUGCUCAGGGACACUUCAACUUGGCACAGGGAGCAGCCAGGAUUCGAACCGCCAACCUUGUGCUGCACAUUUCAUUAGCCGGAAUGUAAAGAUUAGGAAUAUUUGUAUUAUUCAAAGUGUUCAUUGCCUAAAAGUCAUUUGAGUGUUAAUCGUGACGGACUGCUCCUGAACGUCACGUGACGUCAGGCGCGUAAUCUCAGUUCAUCCAGAACACCUGUCAGUUCAACAUGGGAGGAGUUUCUCAUUGCCUCGUCUCUCCAAGUAACGUUGGUAAGUGUUAUUUGCCUAACAUGAUUAACAUUCUCUUUCCUUACAUCUUGUUGUCUUCCUCAACUUUGUAAUUUUAAUAUUUCACUAAUGACAGUCUUUCUAAAUAUUUAAUUUUGGUUUGUUUAACAGAGGCACUGGAUUAAGGACGCCAGCCGUUUGCUGCGGUCAAUUGAAAGUGUUCCAUAGCGUAUUGUUGCAGUUAUUUACCUUGUUCCCAAUGAUUUUAUGAUUCAUUUUUUUAUUAUUGUAUACAUGCUGCAUAUUUUAUGUUUUGUUCUUUGUUACAAAGGCCUAACAUUUUUGUCUUAAAGGCAUCUAACAAACUCCAACCACUAUGACCGAAAUUAUUUUGUUUGUCUUUCUUUAAUUUGUGGGGAAUUAAAUGCAAAAGUAUACGGUAACAUUCUGGUAUUUAUAACACAAAACUGUCAGGGUUGGGUAGGAAGGCAGGACUCAAACGCAGACUUUAACGAAAAAGACUUUAAUAGUCAAAAAAACUCCACAAAGUAAAAGGCCAACAGGCAAAAACACAUACACGAAACGGGGACAAAAAGGGAGGCAGUAACGGGGAACAUCCAGAUGGUAGACAGGGACAUCCGUGACAAAGGACAAUGACGCCACAAGUGACAAACAACACACACUGCUUAAAUACACAAGGGAGGUGCAGGUGAUUGGACACAGGUGGAAACAUUCCAACAAUCAAAGGGGAUGACAGGACCAGGCAGGAAGUGAAGUUACCCGGGGGCACGAGUGGCAGAAAACUACAAAAUAAGACAGGAAGUGCACCACACCGUGACAAAGACAGUAAUCGUAUGGUAACAAACUGUAAUCCAAUAUACCACAACAUACCGUAAAUUAUGGUAGGGCACUGUAAAUAAAACAGUAAGUUACUAGCGUUGACUGCCAGUAAAUUCACAGUAAAAUUCGUUCAAGUUUAUGAUAACAUACAGUAAUCCAUUUUACGGUAACAUAGUGUAAAAACCAUUUACAGUAUUAUACCGUAAAAUAACGGUAAAUUCCUGGCGUCCUUGCUGCCAGUAAAAUACCAUUUAUUUACGGUGAAUUUUUUUAGAGUGUACAUAUAUACUGCUCUAUGCCUCACCUGGGAAGCUGAUUAAACUAAAAUAAUAAGGUGAGAAAGGCAGGCAAAGACAGACAUGUACCUGUUGCUGGCUUCUGUCAGUGUCAAAGGCAUCUGCGAUUCUAGCGAGGUGGAGCGUCCUUCAACAGGACAUAUAAAAAAAACUAUUGGUCGGCCCAGGGCUUUGUGCUCUCCCACACUACCCUAUAAUGGAUCAUUCUAUUGAGGAUCUCCCACACUUCUUGGUACAUGGUAGUGAUAAAUAGAGGGCCCAUAUCUGUAGGGAUUGUGUAUGUAUAUGAGUUAAUAUAUUUGUAACAUCUAUUAUAAAUGAUUUGUGUUUAUUUCCAGACUCAGGAGUCCAUACAAAAUGAAAAAGAAACAAAAACACAAUGCAGUACAAAGCAUAUUGUUGGCAAUAAUAAAAAGGUCAACACCUUGCAUCACUCUGUGUAUAGGCUCAGUUAAAGCCUUCAUGAUUACAUUAACAGGUUCAUUUAAUCAACAUUUCGAUUUGUAAAUUCAAUUCCUCAAGACAGCAUGAAAUGUGAGCACAUCACCAGUCACAAACAUGACUUGAGUCCAUCUUUGGAGCCUAAGCAAGAUUCUAAAAGUAUCAUUAAAUACCACCUGAAGCUUUUUUUUAUCUUUGCUCUGCUGCAGCUGCACCACAAGCUGGAUAGAGCGGAGGACAGUAAACAGAGCUCUUUUUGCUUUUGCACAGUGUGCAACACUAGCGCUGCACAUCAUCAUCGUCACUUAGGUCACUCUGCAUCAUGUGACCCAAGUAUCUCGCUUUCUGAACUAAAUUUAGCUAUUGGCUUCCAAUGAAGAAUUUAGGGAAAUUUAGCUUUUGAUCCUCCUUGGUUUCAGCAAUCAUGACAUGAAUAGACAUAUUAGAAUUCGUAAAACAGCCAACAAAAUGUCAAUUAUUGGAGCUGACAGAUCUUAAUUACAAAUAAUGUCCUCAGUCACAUAUUAUAUAAUUUCAAAUAUCUUUAAGACAUGUAAACUAAUCCUCUCCCAUUUUCUUCGACACGAGGCUUCUACAACACAGAUGCCAAAAGUGUGUGAAUGCUGACCUAAAACACCACAUUCGCUUUUGACUCCACCUGCGCCUGUUCCCAUUAUCAGCCAUUACCACCGCUCACCGCUCCAAGAGGAGGUCUCUGGUGGCGCCCUGUUCCCCACGCUCUCAGUUGGGCGACGCUCCACCCCUCCACCCUCCCCUCCCUCCAUUCAUCCAUCAUGAGUAGGCUGCUAAAUGGAGCAGAGCGCCUCGCCUCUGACCCCUUUCAAUGAGCCAUGGGGUCUUCCAGCGCCGCAACGCUCCUCUGAACCCGAGGGGAGCGAUUUGGAGCGACCCGCUCGCAUCAGUAAUGUCGAAUAGCAUUCAGGGUGCAUUAAGCCUCUGGACAUUCCCUCCGUGUAGACCUCUGCUUUCCUCUCUGCAUUCAUUUCUCUCAUUCCACUUUGGUUAACAUGACACGGUUAGCCAAAGUACUCAAAGCAUACUGGCAAUUAAUCAUAACUUUUGGGUCCAAGUAGAACCCUUGAUUAUUUUUAUUUGUCAAAAAACAGAAAUGCAGAAUUAUAUUUUUAUGUAUAAUAAUUCAUUUUCCCUCAGGAUCAACCACAGUGAGGCAUACAAAUGAUUUUACAAGCAUGAUUUGUUUUGAAAUCUAGUAAACAACUGAACAUCUGUUGAAGUUUAUUCUUGUAUAUAACAUUGUUAGACACCGUCGUCCAGGGGACCUUAGUGAAGUUGAUCAGGCCUCGGUCUUCGUCCAUGUGGCACUCUACUGCCCUUACUUGUUAUGUUAAUUAUGAUUUUUCAGUAGUUUGCACUGUGGACAGGAGACAAACAAAGCAGAUCUUGAGUCUUUUAUUGGACCUUCUGUCCAGACCAAAAGAAAUGCUUUGCAUUUUAUGUUCUUUGAAGGACAUUGUUGCUUCUCCAAAACACUUGAGACCCAAUCAGUGCUCCUUCAAGCACAUAAGUACGUUGAGCUAAAUAAUAACACCAGCAUACCGAUAAACACACAAAGUCAUGUGAACAUGUCAAUUUGACGAUCUUUAGCAGUUGCAAUAUACAGUAUGCCAACAUUGACAUUGUAGUUUAACAAGCUAGCAUGCUACCAAUAAUGUGCAGCUGAGGCAUUUGACCAACGUAAUGGACUUAUUUGUCCAUCCAGAUGUUCUGGAGGUAGUUCUUGAGCAUAGUUGGAACAGAGCGGUGACUGAACAUGGUUUGGUUCCAGUGUGGCUAAAAGAAACAUAAACGUAUAAAAGUAACUGUGAGCCUGUGUGAAAGUGAGCCGACCUCUGUCCUACCCCCUCAGUCACGUCUAACAAAAAACACAUUAAAAGGUUGGCUUCCAAAACUGGAAAUGAUCUUGGAGACAUUGCAGAAAGGCAUGUUCCAACCAAAUAACUCAUACGUGUUUUUAAUGUUUUUAAAGUACGGCAUUUUAUACUCUAAUGGAUUUAGUUUUUUGUGUCCAACAAUGCUUCAUUUUACAAUUGCGUAUUUGGUGGCCAAUAACAUCUUUUUCUGUUCCGUAUUGCAGCCCAAUUCAAAGGCAGCACUGCUUUGAACAUCUGUUUUGUCUCUCUGUUGGCCUUUGUUAAAGUUAGACGUUUUGACUGUUACAUAUGUGUCUAACUCCACUGUCAGUAGACUGUAAAAUUGUAAUCCUUUAGCUUAUCGUUCCAUUACCCCUGAAUCAUCCAUGCAUCUGUCUAUCCUGCCUUAAAUACUUCCCUCUUCCCGUCUACCCCCUGUCCAUCCCGUCAACACGUCCUCCUCCUUCACCAUUUGUCCUGCUGCCCAUCCAUCCGCUUGUCUUCCUCCAUCCAUCAGGGCAUUCAUUCCUCCCUCCGCGCCUUUAUCACUGCUGCACUCCCCUUUCUAUUAUUACUUCCCUAGCUUCCUUUUUAUAUUCCUUCCCUUCCCACAGCCUCCUCCUGUCCCUCAUUCUGCUUGCAUGUUACAUUAUUUACAUGCUUUACCUUUUCAGGUCUAAAUAAGCAAUAAAGCACCAAAAUGUACCAUAAGUAAAAGUACUCAUCAUGAAUAACAUCAUCCUGUCAUUUACUAUUGGUGCAUUAUUGUGUACAUCACUUUCAUUUUAAAGCUUGAAAAGGUGGGGCUUAUUUCAAUGGCUUUGCACACUGUGGGAUAUUAUAUCUUGAAUUGUAAUUAUACAUUAUGGGUUGGAUAUCUAAUCUGAAUCAACAAUGUGAUAACAAAUAAUUAUUCAAUACAUUUAGUGAAGUGACAAUUCCCUCCAGAUUACUGUUGAGUUGGAAAUGAUUUAAAGUGAAGCACUUAAAUAUUCCUACUCUAAAUCAUUACGUCAACAAUUAAGUUGUGAAAUACAAAAUUUCAGAAUUCAUCUUCCUUUUCUGUUCAUUUGAAUGAGCCCAAGAACAAAGCUGGACCUGAGGCUGGGAGGCAGGUGUGUUCGCUGUGUAUGGAUGCAGAUCAUCGCCGGAACAUUCGGGUAUUUUCAUCCCAAAUCUAUACUCACCAGUCAACUUUUAUGUUUCCAAACCGGUAACGCUUGUUAUUGCCGUUUAAAGACCAUGAAGUUAACUAUUAUCAAUGAUGUAGUAACAUUUUAGGUUCUGGGGUUUAAUUUAACAUUGUGAUGGGUGGGUUAUUCAGAUUUCAUUGCUGAUGUUUGCUGUCAUCAGUGUUAGCCUUUUGCUCUUAACUAGGCUGAGCCGCUUGAAUUUGUGGGAAUAAACUGGAAAUAUGUCAAAUAAUAACAUCACAUAUAGAAAUGUACAGAUAAAAGCGGCUUGUGUACUUGUUCAGUAGAACUAAUUCCCUGAGGAGAAACCAGGCCCACCCAAACAUAAUUAUAUGAAAUCAAGCCCCUCUGGAUGAAGCACCUGGACUGUCUCUAAAUCCCUUGAUGCAUGAAACAAGCAGAGAGCAAAACAAAGAGUCCGCGCCGUCAGCCUGAAAUCGAAUCCUCCAUUGUAAUCCCUUAGUUUUUAAUCAAGGCAUAUCCUUACCGCCUUUAAUACAGCAUUAGCACGCAUACCAUAAAUUAUGACUGCAGGAGAUAUUGUGAUCAUUCUAUCUUUCUAUGCCGGGUUCAUUAUGGCUGAUAGCUGCGGGUGGCGGUGUGACAUCGGCUCUGGACUCGGGCCAUUUGUACCUCUUCCCACAGGUGACCACGACAGUUCUUUAACAAAUGCACCUCUGCAGCACCCCGGGGAGUGCGAAUGGUGCCAUGAAUGUGGCAAUCAGUGCUUGGUGCGUACCAAAGAGUCAUAGAGGCUGAUUGCGCUGUGGGAGCCGCAGAGCGGUGCUCCUCCGACUCUCUCCAUGCGAGGAAUAACAAGCUCCAUCGCCCACAGUGUGAAACAACAGACUGCUAAUUGGAAUCAGCACGCCUCUCCCUGAGCUUAUUCAAAUAUCUGCCGGAUGCCGGGUUCAGGGCUAUAUGUAAGUUAUGGGGGUGUGCUGUUGCAGCUGUUGUCCACGUGUGAAGCGGAUCUCCUCUGCAGAACGAUAUUAUUAAUGAAGAUGAAACGCCCCACAUGGAAAUAACACCGACUGCAGUGGACCUCGCUUUGCCUCAGCACCUCCACCUCCACGUUACAUCACUCGCUGUGCUUCAUCUAAGUAUAUUUCCAUGGAGUCUUUUUCAUUCAUUGCUGACGAUGCUGAUAAAUGCUCAGCUGCUCAACCUCCAUGACCCCGUCACCACAGACGAAUGAACCCACGAGGUGGCCCCAGGGCCUCCACGCCCCCUUUUCCUUCCCCCGUUCCUUCUGUUCAUAUGUGGUACCUUGAUUACACACAAAGGCGUUUGGAAUGUGUUCCACAGAAAUGUUAUAUCUACUCAAACAACAACAGCCUGAAAUGUAAUAUUGAGACACGGUGGUCCACUACAAAACCACAAAAGAAAAAUGAUCACAUCAUUGUGGCCCUCAUCGUUGUUGGUAACAUAUUACAUUGUGUCACCAAAGAUUUCCAACGGCUGGCCGGCAGAGAUGGUGCACGUCUUGGAUCAGCGUCUCGCUGCAUGCAGGGGACGAGGGUGAUGAAGUACCUGCUUUGACAACUGUGGGCGUUUCACCUAUCAUCCAUAUCUCAACAGCUUAACAAGGGUUAUCAUGUGCUGCUGUUGUGAGAAUUAUUGAAGGGGCAGAGUCGGUGCUAUAUAGUGUGUGUGUAGUUUCACAUCUGCACUUAUGAGCAUACCGGUGCUGUUUGUAUUUGCACAUGCUCAAGAAUGUGUGAAAUGUUUAGUAUUUGCAUAUGCACGUGUGUGUGUGUGAGAGUGUGAAUGAAUUCUACUCCAGCUGCCAAUGCAAAGUAGUAAUGGCAUUUUGUGUGUGUGAGUGCUUAUACAAACGUCUUUGUGAGGAACAAUUAGAGUUUCAGACCGACACAGCGAGGAGCACUUUGUGGGAAGUGAGGAGAUUUUCUUUCCCUCAGGACAGACCUGUUUAGGAUUUUGUCUUAAUGGUUCAAUCUAGGAUAAGUAUUAGUGUUAAUGUGUGUAGUCAUAAAGGUAGAAGUACAAAGGGGUGCUUGUGUGCAUGGGACAGCAGACCCCUGAAGAAGAUAUUGAUUUCUCAUUGAAGCCCCCCGGGAAAAAAUCCACCGGAGAAGUGAAGGGCUGAACUCUGCGCGUGUUGGGCUGCACGUCUACACAAAGAGGUACCACACACACACACACACACACACACACACACACACACACACACACCUGGCUCGGCGCACACGUACCUGUAGGCACAAGCCACAAACGUGAUGCUUGUUUACAACACACACACUCACACACACACACGCACACGCGCGCACACUCAGUCCACCUCUUUGUAUGAUGUGUGACGGAGCGCAUG